ACAUAAAUUAACAAAAUUUAUAUUUUUAAAUGAUUUUGCAAAAUCAAGAUCUCUUUCCUAGUUCAUCACCGAGUUCACUUCUAUCAUUCUAUGUAUCAAUUCACAAAGUAUGAGCACACACAAAAAACAGCAUCAACUAAAUGAUAAGCUUGUGACUAGUGUGAAAAUGGCAACAUACUCAGAGAGAUACACAAUCUUGCAACCUGCAGCAUCAACUUCUUUUCUCCCAACACUCUCCUAAUCACAAAGAGAAAUCAAAUAAAUCACGUGCGCACAAAAAUUAAAAGAAAAAUUAAGUUAAAGUUACUUACAGAAGGGGUUGUGUAAGCCUCAAAUGCAAACCCAGCAAGAAUAACAGCAAGAUUAAUAUCAAACGGUGGCCUUUCAUCUUGUUCUUUAUCUUCAACCUUAUCAAUCUCAGCAUCCUUUGUUUUGCAAAAACAGCAAACCGAGUAAACCUUAUCCCCUUUGGUUUUAUAGCUUUCUGGGCAAGGGAAGACCAACUUAACUUUCCCAGAAAAUGGUUUCUGAGGGAAGUUGAGACACUGAAGCUGGUGAAACCUGGGCAAAGAGGGUAGGUAACUGGGACAGACUUGUAACUUCAUGCUGUGAUCUUGAAGGGAAGCCAUUAGUAAAGUGGAGUGAAGUGACAGUUGCAGCAGUUGUGUGGUGCAAUAAAAUAAAUUAAAACAUUUUAGAACAAGUGUCAGUGGCGCGCGCGUCUGCGUGUUAUCGCACGUAAUUGGAGAAGAAAAGAAGCUUUGAGAAAGAUGUGGGAGACAAGUGGCUACAGCUCCUUGGUAGAAAUUUAACGGCAUUAUGCACGGACAGUUUACUGUUAAAUAAAUUUCGAAUUUCUUUUUAUUUUAUUUUUUAUUUUACUAAUUUUUAUUUUUUUUAAUAUUUUCCUUUUCUCUAAGAAGACCAAAAUGGACGUACCUAUUGGUAUCAGUUAAGGAUGAUAAUGGAUAUAACCCGCUGCGGGUUUGUCCAUUAACAAAUCUACACAUAAAAUUUUCAAAUUACUAAAUUUAUGCGCAACCCGUAGUGGGUUUUUAUUUUUUUAAAAAAAAACCCGCUGUAUGUUUUAAAAAUUACCAAAUUUACUUGUAAGUCGCAACCUACAAUGGACUUUUUGUGGAUUUUUUUUUAUUUAAAAUCACAAAUAUUAACAAAUACUUUUAAUAACAUAUAAAAACUUCAAUUAUAUAAUUCAAACCGUAAAUUUAUAACAAUAGCCUAAAAAAACAUAUAGAAUACUCAAUUCUAAAUUUUAUCAAUGUAAAUAAGAAAUUAAAAUUUUAAGAUUAAAAGAACUAUAAAAAAUAUAUUAAUCUAACAUAAAAAUAUUUCUAUCAUAGGCAAAUCAUCAUCACUAGUAUCAAUACUUUAUUCCAUCUUUUAAUCAAUAUACAAACGUUAUCAAGUAUUGACAAUAUUAGCAAGUAAAUUUUUAUACAACCACCGUCAUCAAUUAAUUAAACAAAUAAAAAUCCAAUUUUAGUAAGCAAUCAUUAAGUCAUUCAAGCAAAACAAACAAAAUCAAUCAAAUUAAAAUAAAAUAACAGUGAUAUUAAAAUUGAAAAUUAUAAAAUUUCUACUUAUUGAAAGCUUAUUGUGUUUGUGUGUAUGUAUAUGCUAUAGUGAGAUAGGUUAGGUUUAGAAAUUAGAAACAUCAGGUUUAAGAUUAGGAACUUUAAUUUACAUAUAUUUAUGAUUAAAUUUUUUAAUGUAAUUUUUAUGAUCUAAAUAAAAAAUAUAAAUAAUUAAAAUAAAAAAUGUAGGUUGGCAGAUAACCACGCUGGUAUCUGAUGGAUUUUUUUUCUUAAUAUGAAACCCACCCACAACUCGCAAUAGGUUUAAAUUUAAAAUACAAAACCUGCCCGCAACCCACAAAAUUACCCACAGUGGGUGGAUUUUUGUCGGGAAUUUGGGAAGGUUUGUGGGUUGGUAGGUAGUUUUGUCGUCCCUAACAAUAAUAGAUUAUCAUACUCACACUCGUAAAAAAAUUAAAUUAGCAAAUCUGCCAGCAAUUGCAACAGAUUUUUAUUUUUUAAAAGAAAAAUUAUCUCUACACUAUUUUUGUUUUGUCGAAUUACAUCUAACUACCACAAAAUUUUAACAUGUUCUUUACACAAUUUUUUUCUUAAAUCAAUCAACCACUUUGAUACUAAAAAAGUGUCUAUUUUACCCCUAAAUGAAUCAAAAGACAAUUUUUUUCUACAAAAUUUUGAAAAAUAAAAAAAUUAUAAUUACAAGAAUACCGCUAAAUUUAAUAAAAUAAACAAAUAUCAAAAUCUAAGUUUCUAAUUUUUUAUAAUUAUAACUCCAUUAAAAAAUAAUCAUGUUAAGUUUUUGUAUUUAUAAUUUCAUUUAAUUUUUGUAAUUAAAUUAAGUAUAGGAAAGUUUAAUAAAAAUUAACAUGAAGAGAAAAGCUCCUUGCUCACUAUAAUUAUUGUAAACUUCCUUAUUAAAAAACUUCACUAUAUAAAUUAAAUGAAAUUAUUAUUACAAAAAAUUAACAUGAUAAUUUUUCAAUGAAAUUAUAAUUAUAAAAAAAUUAACGUCUUGGAUCUUGAGAUUUAUUUGUUUUAAUAAAUUCAAGGGUAUUCUUGUAAUUAUAAUUUUUAUUUUUCAAAAUUUUGUAGAAUAAAAUAGUUUUUUAAUUCAUUUAAUGAUAAAAUGAUUAUUUUUCUGUAUCAAGGUGAUUGAUUGAUACAAGUUUAGAAAUAAAAGUGGUGCAAUGAACAUAUCCAAACUUUAUGAUGAUUAGAUGUACAUAUAUCAAAACAAAAGUGGCGGAGAGAUAAAAAAAAAAACUGCAUAUUGUGGUUUUUAAUAUUAUCAAACCCAUCCGCAACACAUAGCAAACUUUUUGUGGGUUUUAAAAUAAAAUAUUAAAAACUACUAUUAAUAACACAUAAAAAAUUAAAUUUCAUAAUUCAGACAAUAAAUUUAUGACAACAACCUUAAAAAUCUACAUAUAGUACUCAAUUCUAUAUUUUAUUAACAUAAAUAGAAAAUUAAAAUUUCAACAUUAAAUGAUUAAAACAAAUAAUAUAAUAUUUCCAUUUAGGCAAAUGAUCAUAACUAAUAUCAAUGUCAUACUCCAUCUUUUAAUUAAUAUACAAGUAUUAUCAACAAUAUUAACAAGUAAAUCUUAUACAACUAUUGUUAACAAUUAAUAAACAAAUAAAAACCCAACUUUUGUAAGCAAUUAUUGGGUUAGUAAAACAAACAAAAUCAAUCAAUUAAAAUAAAAUAUCAAUAAUAUUAAGCUUGAUUCUAAAAUUUUGUAGUUAUUAAAAGCUUAUUGUGUAUGCGUGUGUGUGAGUAUAUAUAUAUAUAUAUAUAUAGUGAGAUAUGUUAAGUUUAGGAAUUAAGAACUUUAACUUACAUAUAUUUGUGAUUAAAUUUUUAUGAUUAAAAUUAUAAAUAUAAAUAAUUAAAAUAAAGAAUGCGUUCAGCCCAUAUCUGCGUAGGAAUCUGACGGCUUUUUUCUUAAUACCAAACCCACCACAAUCCUCAAUGAGUUUCAAUUUGAAAUAAAAAAAAACCCGCCCAUAACCUACAAAUAAUACCCGCAAUAAGUGAAUUCAUACAUUCCAACACAUAGCUUACCAAUUUUUCAAAUUCAUACUUUCCAAGAUUAUAGAGUACAUACAUUUGUAUUAUAUAAAUUGCUGAUAGAAUUUAUUUCAAUAAAUUUCUAUUGAGAAGGCAAUAAAAUUUAUUGUGAAUACAAUAUACCACAAUAUGUAAUUUUUUAAUAUAUAAAAAUAAUUAUGAUAGUGCCGUUCCUUUGUUUUAAAAACGGAUAAUAGAUAUUGUAACUAUCUAUUUGAUGAAGUUACAAGAGUUAAAAAUGCUUGUUUAUCUUGCUUUUAAAGGGAAUAGUGUUACCACUUAAAAUUUUUAUCGUUAACUUUUCAACUAAAACUUUAAGGCCUUUUUUUUAAUAGAAAAAGGAAGCCUAACAAAAGGCUAAGGCAGAAUCAAAUGAGGGUGCGCAAUCCCUAUACAAUCAUGGUACAACCAAAAAUUAAGUCCCACUGGUGGCGUCUGAAAAUAUUGUAAACCUAAAGCCAUUGUUACAGCAAGAUUAGCAAGAUAAUCAGCUGCAAAAUUUGGCUCCAGUAGUUGUGUCUCAAGAUAAUCUGCCGGUCGCUGUUCAAAAAAUCUUUAACACCUCCCAAUAGAGAAGAAUAAGCAUUUAUAGUAUGAGUCAAGUGAAUUAAGAGUUGAAUCACACAAAGAUUGUCCACUUCAAUCUGUAGCUUUCGAAAUCCUUUCUCCCAAGCCAUUUUAAGGCCAUGAAACAACCCCCAUAAUUUUGUUUCUAAGUUAGAGCAGCGACCAAAGUUAAUGUUGAAACCUCCACAAAAGGUAUUGCAAUAAUCAUGAACAUGACCUCCAGUGUUGGCAAUCCCGAUCUCUUCAAAGCCCUGUCCGUAUUAAGCUUAAACCAUGGAUAGGAAGGAGAUUGCCACUAGAGCCAAGUCUCGAUUUUAUCCGAAACUUUGUGUAGUAAUAUCGGGUUUACCUUUUGAAUUUAUUCACAAUGGUUGAGAAUAUCUUGCACCAUAUUGGUCGUGCCACUAGAGAUAGUAUCACGAAUGAAUUUAUUCCUCCAAUAUCAUAAUUUCGAAGUCGCCAGUCGAAUAUAUAUGACCAAUCCAAAUGGUGAUCAAUGUGCCAAGCAUUUUGUAUGUUGCCCAGAAGCCAAUCACAUACAUGCAUGGAGAAAAAAGCAAGUUGAAAGCUUUAUGGAACCAAAGCCUCCCAUACCCUUUUUACAAAUAAGAAAUCACGUAGAGCAUGCAAAGCAUCCUCCACAUCGUGUCCACAUCUCAAGCAAUUCAUUCCGUACGUCAACAAUAUGUCUUCUAUAAAGUUCCCAAUGGGUCUUCAGUCUAUUAUGAACAAUUAGCCACAUAAAGGUACAAACCCUUUGGGUACUCUUCCACCUCCAAAUGAUAUUCCAAAUGUGAGUGUUUUCACUAGGCACAGAUGGAGCCACAAACAUAUAGGCAGAUUUCACUGUGAAAGUAUCUGAUCUUGACAGAACCCAAUACAUUUGAUCAGCAUCCCCAUUAAUCCUUGGAGGCAUAGUGGUAACGAUUUUAAGACUCACGUGAUUAAAGAGAAAGUGAGCAAACAAAUGCUACAACCAUGUCCCUUUAGAGUCCAUAAAUUCAGCCACUGACCUUUUCACCAUUUCCUGAGGAAUGGACAAAGUAGAGUAGUUUGCUAGGUUAUGGGAAUCAUCAAGCCAAAUAUCAAGCCAAAAUCUAGUAGUUCUACCAUUGCCCACUGACCAACGAAUCCCACUUAAAACAUGCUUCCAAACACCUCCAAGUGCUUUCUAUAAAUAAGAGCCAUAUUUAAUAGACAACUCAAUAGGAAUGUUAUGGGAAUCAACACCAUACUUAGUCGAGAUAACCCGGAUCUAGAAAGUAUUUGGAGAAUAGACCGUACUCCAACUAAUCUUCAUUAAUAAAUCAUUGUUCAUAUGGUUAAGAUUCUUGAACCUAAGACCUUUGUAAGUUUUCGGUUGCACAGCGUGUUCCAAUUAAUGAGAUGGACCUUUUUUUCCAGCAAUGCCACCCCAGAUAAAGCUUCAACAAACUUGGUCAAUUUUCUGAUGUAUGCUGAUAGGGAUUUUAGUAGUUUGCAUAAAAAAGAUGGGAAGAACAUGUAUUACAGAUUUCGCAACAGUCACCUUACCCGCAAAAGGGAGACGUUUUGCACUCUAGCUUGAUAAGCAUUGCUCAAUAUGUUCAAGGAUUAAUUGAAUAAUAAGUCUUUUUAUUUACCCGAUAGUAAAGAAGAGGCAUCCUAAGGUAUUUACCAAAUUAUCAGUUUUGGAAAACCCAAGGGAAUUGUAUCUCAUAGGCUAUGGCUAGGGGUGGGCAAAAUCGAGUUCGGAUCAACCCGAUCGGGUUUCGGGUUGGAUAAAAAUCAAUCCGAACUCCACCCGAACUUAAAACCCGAUCCGAUCCAAUCCGAUCCGAAUUUAAUUCGGAUCGGAUCGGAUCGGGUUAAAAAGUCGGGUGGAGUUCGGAUCGGAUCGGAUGCGGGUUAAGUCGGGUUCGGAUUAAAUUCGGGUUAUUCGGAUGAAACCGAGUUAAUUCGGGUCGGGUGUAAUCGGAUCGGAUUCGGGUUAAUUCGGGUUCGGAUUAAAUUCGGGUUAUUCGGAUCAAUUCGGGUCAAUUCGGGUUAAAAUUAAUUAAUUUGGCAAUUUGGCAAUUGGGGAUCAAACGUAACUUUAAUUGAGUUACUCCAUUAAUUAUCUUUAAUUAGAGGGAAGAGAGUGAAAGGGAGGAAAAAGAAAUUGUAUGACUUUUAAUAAAAUAACUUAUAAAUUUAGAAAUUAUGUACAUAUGUUAAAAUAUUAUUUGUUGGUGGUUUCAUAUUAGAUUAUGAAGACCUAAAACAUCACGCUAGAAUUUCUCCUGUCCAAAAGCUUUUCACAAUCAAAAAAUAAAUUAUUUUUUACAAAAUUUAAUCUUAUCCUAUGGUCAUGUUUGUUCAAAAUUCAAAGAAAACCUUAACAACUUGCUAUGUGGCACAAUAAUAAGUCUUAAACUCUUAAUGUCUAAUAGUAAAAGAUAAAACCCAUUAAAUCUAAUAUUAAAAUAUAAUAAAUCACAAAAAAAAAACCCUCUACCAAAUGGCAAAACUCAAUCAGUGGACUGGAAUCCACAUUAAUUUUGUCAUGGGGCCACACGUUGAUACUUGAUAAGGAAACAUUUUUUUUCUAUUUUUUUUAUUCUUUUUGGCUUUUUGCCAUGGGGAUCUCUGGAGAAGUGGAGAUACAGCCGUUUAAAAGAAAAUUUACAUACACUUUGCAAUUUGCAUACACUUUAUCUAAUCCAAAAGACAAACACAGCAAACGUAAGGGAUUGAUUCAUUUUCAUUCUGGCAAUAACAACAUGAAUGUGCAUGUCCUUUACAAAACAAGGAUGUUUCUCUUCCACUCUUGUCACCUUGCUAACUAAGACAUUUCUUUCCCACCUUCCUUAUCCUCCCUCAUUCAUUUCAACCAACAAAAAAAGAAAACUACUAUAGAAUUAAAUUCAAAUGAUUCAAAAUUAAAAAUUAACACAAAGCAUAAAAUUAAAAUUAACACAAAGUUUAAAUUUAAUAGUCUCCAUCCAAAGCGCAAUGUCCAAUUCUAAAAUCUAAACAUUAAUCUUUAGAACACAAAAUUAAACAUAAUUAAAUAGUUUCCAUUUUCCAAAACACAAAUGACAAAGUUCCAAAAUCCAAAACACAACAAAGUUUAAAUGUAAAUCUAGAUCAACUUCCUCCACGACUCCACCGUUCCUCGCAAGCACUUUGACAACUUUUAACUUCAAUUUCUUCUACUCCAAGUUGAAGAAUUGAAGCAUAUAUCCCCUAGGGAAAAAUUGAAAAAAUAAUAGAUAAUUGUUUAAAUACUUUCUUUAAGCCACAUUACAAAUAAAGGGACAUUAAACACAAACACAAAUGCCCAAUUCAUAUGUGUACUUGAUUAAAUAUAAGAAAAAAAAUUAAGUCAAUUGUGGCUUAUUUCAUGGCAUUCAUCAUCAAGUAAAUUUAAUAAUAAUCCUAAUUCCUAGGUAAUACCAUUCCAACAAUUUCAAUGUGUCUAAAAUAAAUGAAACAAUUAUAAAUUAAAACUAUAACAACUAUUGUCUAUUAUUAUAGUGUAAAUUACAACCUAAACAUAUAAUAUGAAAUUAUAAAUAAUAAUAUAUAUUAAGAAUUACCUUUCAAAUAUCCAUAACACCCAUAUCAGCGCUCACUGUUUCCACCGUUGAAGCUUGUGAUCUUACAAACUCUUUAAAAUGUGAAAAAAAAAAUGAAAUUAGUAAGUAACUUAAGUACAUGUAGAUGCUAUUUAUAAAGUUAUAAUACAUCUUAACUUUAUAAAGUAUGAGAAAAAUAUUACCUUCUUGUAGCUCCAUAUGGAAUAUCUGCUCUUUAAUAUCUUCCUGAAGGUUGUAGACAGGAUUAACAAAAAGUUUAGCUUGUAACCAAUUUUCGAUACAUAUCAAUGCCUCAACCAUACAAGGGGUCAAAGAACUCUGAUAUUCUUCAAUGACGUGACGCCCUGUGCUAAAGGCAGAUUCAGAUGCCACUGUGGAAACAGGAACAACGAGGACAUCCCUUGCAAUUUUCUCUAAUAUUGGAUACUUUGAUCCAUUAACCUUCCACCAAAGUAAAACAUUGAGCUUAAGAUUGCUUGGAUCAUCAACUGGGUCACUCAAAUAUCGUUCCACCUCAGAUACUACUCCCUUGCCCUCAUUCUGAACAAACACUUUCUAAGCAUACCCAAAGAAAGGGCGAGAAACUCAGAAAAUGUCAUCACCAUCACCACUAGGACCCUCCGGCAAACCAAUUUCAGUUGUAAAAUAAGGAGAAUAACUUGUACCACCAUAGCUGCUGCUAGGAACACUCUCACUACACAUCGAUGGUGUGGAACUAGAGCACAUUGCACUAUAUGCAUCAUAAAGCUCAUUCAACAAAUCUUUCACUGCUUUGGUCAUUUCUUCAACUUUCCAACCAUCAUUGGCAAAAAUGAUCUCAAAAAUAUGUUUGGCAAAGUCCAUUUUAGCUCGUGGAUCAAGAAUAGAGGCAACAAUCAACAUUUUAUUCAUCUUCCCUAAAGACUCCCAAUAUUUAUCAAAUUUUCCCUCAUUUGAUAAGCCAUAGCCACCACUCAAGGAUCUCUACUUCCCUCUAAUGCAGUCAAUGAGCUCUCAAUUAAGCCAAUGGUAUCAUAACAAAGAUUAGAAGUCACACUCAAAGAAGCAGAAAAUAACAAUGUGGCAUCAUAAAAUACCUUCAAAAACUUCACAAUUCGCCAUGCACUCUCCCAAUCCUCAGGUCCAAGCGGGCCCACCCUUUUAACGUUAUUUUCUUUCUCGAGAAAAUAUGCCUCAUACGGUUUAUUCACCUCUACCAUUCUAUCAAAUGCUGCUUGAAACUUCAACGCAGUCAUCAACAUUAAAUAGGUGGAAUUCCACCUAGUAGGACAAUCCAAAACAACCGUUCCAUUUAGACAUUUCACUUAUUGAGCACACUGUUUAAAUGCCUGUAGCCUCGUUCUGGAGGAUCUCACAUACUUCACAGCAUUCCGGAUGGCGGCAACACUAGCAUACAAUUCAUUCAACCCCGAAACAACAAUCAAGUUUAAAAUAUGUGCACAACAACGCACAUGCAUAUACUGACCUGCCAAUACAAUUGCAUCAUCAUUCCUCCAACCAAGUAAUUGCAUAGUCACAUAAUUAACAGCAACAUCAUUUGUACUGGCAUUAUCAAUAGUUAUUGCAAACAACCUCUCUAUCCCCCAAUCUUGUAAACAAGCUACAAUCUUUUUACCGAUCUUUUUCCCUCUAUGAUCUUCAAUCACACUGAAACUAAUAAUCAUUCUGUUCAAACACCAGUCACUAUCAAUAAAAUGAGCUGUGAUCACCAUGUAGCUCAUGUUUUGAACAGAAGUCCAUAAAUCAGUGGUAAGAGACACUCGUUGUUUGUUGUUGCAAAUCAAACUCUUCAACAUUAUCUUUUCUUCCAAAAAUAAAUCCAUAACAUCCCUACCAACAAUUCUCCGAGAUGGCAUAACAAACUGUGGAAUGGCUACACUACAGAAAUGCCUGAACCCUUUGUUAUCCACAAAACUAAGUGGCAACUCACCCAUAAUGAUCAUUUUGGUGACUGCCUUUCUACAAGCGUCUUGACUCCACCCUUUAGCCAAAACCAUAUUACUUGCAUUUCCUUCCCCACCCUCAGUUGUCAAGUUUUGUUGACUUCUCUCUUGUUGUUCCCGGAAUGUCUUGUAUGCAAGGCAAGCCAGUAUAUGAUUUCUCAUAUUUGUAAUCCCAUCACGCCUUGAAUGACAUUGAUAUUGUCUACCACAAUAGUUGCACUUGCAUUUGUUUGGAUUGUCCUCGAGCAAAGUAAAAUGAUUCUACGUUGCAGAUCUUUUCUUCAUCGCUGGUCUUUUCCGCUUUGCCUUUUGAGUUCCUUCCAUUUGAACACUUUGAUUGUCAUCAUCACUCAUUGAAUUCGAUCUUGAGUGUCCAGACAUCUAAACAUACAAAUAAAUAAUUAUUAAUCAUAAAUUCAUAAAUUAAAACACAAAAAGACUAUUAAAAAAAUCUACUUAAUAGUUAGUAUUACAAAUUGAUUCAAAUAAUUGUUAAUUUAAUUUUAUGAAACUUUUUGAAAUCGAUAUUUCCAAUUUUCCACCAUAAUGUUUAUAUAUGAUCAAGAAUUCAAGAUGCAUAUUCCAUAAAAGAAAACUAAGAAAUUAAAGUAAUUAUUUAAUUUAUAAUAUCUAAUUAUCCAUUGGCCAAAAUAAUAUAAUAUUAAUUACAUAUCCGUAUCUUAAAUUCUUAAUUCUUAUUAUGCCCACAUUAUAUGUACUUAACCACUUAAUAUUUACUUAUUGGUUAAUGGUUAUCAUGCAAUUAAUUAAAUUGAUUAAUUAUUUGUUGAGGUUGAAACUUGAAACUACUGCAAUUAAAUUGGUUAAUUUUUUGUUGAAGUUGAAACUAUUCUACAAAUACACAUAUCAUAUGACAUAUAUAAUUAUAAUUUAUAUUGUAACAUAAUAUUUAAUUUUAAUUUUUAAUCUAACAUUACUAUUCAUACAAAAAAUCAAUUAUUAAUAAGUAAUAGAAAAUUAAUGCCGGAUUAUUUUCAUUUUAUUGAUAACAUUUAACAAUAUAUAAUUAACAUUUACAAUUAACAUUUCUCAAAUAACAUAUAAAAAAUAACAAUUAUAAUUAAUCAUUAAUGCAUAUAUAACUAUAUAUUAUAUACGGAUAUACCAUCACUUAAACAAGUUCAAAAGCCGGAUUUGCUGAUUCGGUUCGGGCUUCAAGAGUUCAAGUUCCAAAUCCAAACUUCCAACUUCCAAAACAGAGAGUGAAGAGACCUUUUGAGUUUUGAGACUGGAGCCGUGACCCGUGAGGCGUGACUGUGAGGGUGUGGUGGCCAGAUGUCAACACUCAACAGUCGUGACCCGUGAAUGCCAAUGGUGGAGACUCGAGUGGAUCGGAGGCAACUUGCCGAGUGGAUCUUCAAUCAGACUGAGUGAUGGUGGAGUGGAGGAUUCAAGGCUUGGAUCUGGCGCUUGGUUGCAGCAGAUCUGUAGAUCAGGUCACGAUCUUCGCGAAUCAGCUUCGGCUUCGGUUGGGGUCGUUCUCGGCAGCGGUUGCUAUGUGUGGUGGCCGGUUGAAGGUAGCUCCGUGAACUGUGCGUGUGUGUUUGCUGCGUGUGGUGAGCGACAGAGGCCGUAAGGCGUGAAUGGGUGUGGGUUGGCUGCUUGUGCUUGACGGCUUGAGUGCUGGUUUUAGUGAUUUGUGUGUGACAGUGAGGGUUUAUGAUAUCGUGAGGCAGUGACUGGUGAGUGUCUGAGUGAGUGAGGGUUUGUGAGCCAAAAUGAGACUUUGCUUUGCUUGUGUUCUUUUCUUUGUGAAUUAUUGAAUUGUUUUGUUGCGGUGAGGUGAAUACUUUGUGAAUUACUGAAUACUGAAUUGUGAAUUACUGUAAAAUGUAAAUCCGUGAGUCUGUGUGACACUGUGAAGUCUGUGAUGUGUGAUCUGUAGAUUCUGUAUUCUGUGAGUAAGUGAGUUACUGAUUGUCUGAUUCAGUGAUUGUGUCGUGUACUCGUGUGGGUGUGUAUUUGUAUUUUGUAUUAUGUGAUUUGUAUUUGCCAAAUUUUUUUUCUCAACCCGAUCGGGUUGAGACAAUUUCACCUGAUCGGGUUUUGUUCACCACCCGAACCGAUCCAAAUCCGAAAAUUUUCGGAUCGGAUUGGGUCGGGUCGGAUAUUUUGCCCACCCCUAGCUAUGGCAAUGGGAACAUUUUAAGAAAAAAAAAAACUUGAGUUUUACUUUUACUAACCUUUUUAAGCUGCACAAAAAUUAUCAAGGACUCCACUAAUAACCCGAGCUUGAUCAUAACUAGCUUUCGCCCCGAAGAAGUAAGUCAUCAGCAACAAAUAAGUGUGUGAUUGGGAUGCCAUUACGGGUGAGCUUGAUAGGCUUCUACUUUCCUUCCCGCACUACUUUGCAAAUACCAUGCCUUAGUCUUUUGAUAUAUAAGACAAAAAUAUGAGGGGAAAUAAGAUCACUUUGUCUUAUGCCUCUCGAAGGAGUAAAACUUUCUGUGAGAUCUCUGUUCCACAAAAGCUGCAUCGAAGUUGAGGUGAUGCACUCGAUUAUAGCCCGGAUAAACUCAAGAGGCAAGCCAACUCACACUAAAGUGUCAAAAAAUGAAAUCCCAUGGUAAAAAAUCAUAAGUUUUCUCGAAGUUAACUUUGAUUGCCAUUUGCCCAACCUUUCUUUUAUUUCUCUGCAUUGAGCGAAUAAUUUCUUAGGCCAACACAAUAUUCUUCGUAAUAUAUCUCCUAGGAAUGAAACUAGUAUGAGUGGGACCACUAAGGUUAGGGAGGAUUUCUUUCAAUUUUUUGGCAAUUAGCUUUGUAAUGGUUUUGUAAGCAACCAUACAAGACUAAUUGGCUAAAACAUUUUAAAGGUAGUAAGACUAUUAGUCUUUGGAAUGAGUGCAAUAAUGGUUCAGUUCAGUUCAAUGGGAAUGGUGUUGCCAGCAUUUUUAACAACUUUGCAGAGAGAUGGACCCACAAUAUGCCAUUGGCUUUAAAAAAAAGUUGCAUGUAGACAAUCAACCCCUAGGGUUUUUAAAGGCUUUAUACUGAAAACUAUUUCAUGAAUAUCAACCUCCUCAAUAGAUCUUCUAAGAGCUCUCAAAGUAUUAUCAUUGAUGGUUGGACAUGUACUGUAAGUAGAACUUUGGUGAUAGUAAUUUAUCUUUAGAAUAAAGGUGCUUGAAAAAAAUGACUGCAUGAGCUUUACGCUUCUCCGUGUCUUAAAGCCACUUACUCUCCCCAUCUUUAAUCAUAACAGCUUUAUUCUUCCUCCUUUGUUGUGGUGUUAUGGUCUCUUCAUUGAAUCCUCAGCUUUCUACCUUUUGGGAGUCACAAAAUCUCUUCAUGGGCUAAGACUUCUUCUAAUUUGCUCUUUAAGAAAAUCUUAAGCUGUUGAAGAGAUUUAGAGCAAUGGGUUUUAAGGGCUUUCUGAAUGCCACCAAUCCUGGACAACAACUUCUAUUUUCUCUUAAAAAUAUUCCCAAAGACAUUAGAAUUCCACUUAUUCACCUUCUUAACAAAAUCAUUUACGGCUUGCACAUAACCACUGCAUGUACCCCAAUUUGUAGCAACAAAGUUCUAAAACCGGGAAUCUGUGAGCCAAGACACCAAGAUUUUAAACGGUUUCAAGCCCACAUGGCUACUAAAACUCUUCUCAUGUCGAAUAAGUAGAGGUCUGUGAUCAUAAUGAAUUUUUGGUAGAUGUAAGACCAUAGCUUUUGGGUAAAGACCGAACUAUUCCUUAUUACACAACACCCUGUCUAAACGUUUAUAAAGAUUACCUCGAGACUAGGUAAAUAAUAGAAUUUUUUAAUUGAGAUCACACAAGUGGUGCUUAUGAAUCCAACCUUUAAAUAAAUUACAGAUUCUCAUAAUUGUAGAUGAACCACCCUUUUUUUCAGAGUAUUACUAACAGACGGCCCCUAUACAAUAUUCGCAAAAAUAACCAAAUCUUCCUAAAGGUGUAGCCGGACCAAGUAGGUAGGAUUACUAUAAACUGUUGUCACCCAUGAGAAAGAGUCACCAUCUUCCUUAACCUUUAUAUGGAUAAACUGCUUAUGAUUGAGGACAAUUUCUAUUUCAAAAUUGUCGUUCCAAAGGAGAAAAAUUCCCUGGAGAAACCAAUAGCUUUAACCCAAUGCGAUUUAUUAAAUAUGCUCUUAGCAAUAAACCCAUUAACCUUACAACCACUGAUUUUUGGUUCGAACAAAGUGACUAGACACAGCUUAUAAGUGAAAACAAGUGUUCUGAAGGUUCGGAGAAACUCCUUGACAAUUCCAAAACAUAAAUAAGUUAAACAUAAUAAAUAUAAUACAAAAUAAAAAUGAAGCCUUUACACAUCAGGAUCAUCAACGUGUUGAUCAAAAUCCAUCUCAUCUUCCUCUUCAAGAAAAACCAUAGAUUUAGAAGAGUCGAACACUUCGUCAUCUUCCUCUUUAUAAUCACUUUCUUCGGAGUCUUCUCUGUAUUUUCCAUCUCUAUAUCCUCACCAUUAAAGGGCCUACCAAAUGGUCCUACCCCCUCCACAGUUACAACAAGAUGGGGAUUAGAAUUCUUAAUCCCUAUAAUGUUUAUCGAAGGUGCCUUAAUAUUACGGGGAUUAAUGAUGACAAUGGUAUAGUUCUUUGGGAUGAGAUUAGUUGGUAUAGUUAUGGGUUGCAUAGGACAAAGUCAUUACUUCUAGUCUUGGUGAGAGAACACGAGUUAGACUUUUGCAUGGGUUUAGUUGAGGCUUAAGAGAUUGCAUGGGAAGCGGUAGUGGCACGUGAACUUGUUGAGGCAUGAUUAUUAUUAAUCAGAGUAGGAUUAUUUUUAUUUAUCAUGGGGCUACAUGCCAAUUGGGUAUCUUUUGAGAUAUUGGCUCUACUUUUUCUUUGAGAUUAUUUCUAGGAUUGACUGUAUUUUAGACACGUGCCAUGGAGGCCAACAUUUUGACUUAGGUUGAUAUCCUCUUAAUCAAUUUGGUGAUCGUCAUCUUGAUCUUUAACAUCUAAAAUGGGACUAAAUCUUGAGCCAGCGCUAAUGUUUCCAUUCGACAGAAGAUUGGGAUCCUUAAAUUUAGUAUUUUCACUGUGAUUCAGAUAGUUGCCUUUUUUAACUACCAACAACUAAGGGUUGAAUUUCGGGUGCCCAGUCUAUUCCAGAAUUGGUCGAGGUGGCUUCGCUUCAUUGUUCAUGUUUCUUUCCCAUUCUCAUCUUGAGGUUCCUCACCAUCUCCAUUCUCCGGACACCCAAUGCUAACAUGACCAUAUUUUCUACAAUUGAAACAAUUGAUAGGAAGGCUUUCAUAUUCAACUUUUUGGAUCCUACCAUCAAGUAAAAACUGCAAACAUAAAGGUUUGUCUAGAGCAAUUUUCAAAGUUAUUCUCACAAAUUUCCUUCUAGAUGCUGACCUCGUAUUGAAGUCAAUAUGAAUAACCUCUCCCAUCACUUGCCCCAUCAUUGGGAGAACUUUUUGUGGUAAUAAUAAUGGGGCAUGUUAGAAAAUUUUAUCCAUGCCACCAUCGAAUCAAUUUUGUCACUUGUGCUAUCGAAAUAUGGAGUCCAUUGUUAAACCGUAAGAUAAUGGCCUAGGAUUGUCUAAGGUCCUUGCGUUAAAGUAUAAUUAAUAGUGGUAGUAGCGAGAACAUAGUUUCAAAGGUGUUGGUCAAAGUGAUGGGGCUUUCAACUAAAAAGGGAUAGAAACUCGAGUAAUGACGGUUAUCGUUUCCUUUUCUAUUGAGAAGAUUUAUAAAAGUGAAUGGUGUGUGAUAUAAUGGAUAUGGAUACGUGCCAUCUAUUAUUGGGAAGAUCUUGGUUGUUCGAUGUUGUUACAGUUCAUAGAGGAAUGGAUAAUAUGUAUGAAUUUGGUGGAAUAGUAAAAGCGUUUGUUUGAUGCCUUUAAUGAAUAAAAAGAAGAAUUAGGUUCUUUUGGGUUGUCUAGCGCACCAAGUACUUUCAUACGCUUGAUGAAUUAGGUUCUUAAGACUUUUUCCUGUAAAUUUAUUAUGGUAUAUUUUGAUGAUAUCUUGAUUUAUUCUGUUGAUAUCUUAACGCAUUAGAGCAUUUGAGAAUAGUUAUGGAAGUAUUGUGAAGAAAUAAACUUUACAUUAGUCUAAAGACAUAACUUUCUACAGAGUAAUAUAGGGUUUUGUGUUUUAUAGUUGGUGCAUAUAAGAUUAGAGCUAUUGAGUAAAAGAUACAAGCCAUUGGAGAAUGGCCUAUGGCUGAGACUGUGGGUGAUGUUAGGAGCUUUCAUGGGUUGGCAACAUUCUAUAGGAGAUUCAUUCGAGAUUUUAGCAUGAUCGUUGCACCUAUUACGGAGUGCUCAAAGAAUGGGAAGUUCAAAUAAGGAGAAGAACAUAAGGCGAGUUUUACUUUACUAAAAGAGAAGUUAUCUACUACUCUUGCGUUAACUUUGCUAAACUUUGACAAGUUAUUUGAGGUCCAAAGUGAUGCUUCUGGCAAUGCUAUUAGGGUUGUUCUUUCCCAAGAAGGGCGACCAAUUGAGUAUAUGAGUAAGAAGCUUAGUAAAGCCUAAGCAAGAUGUAUACAAGAUGAGUAAGCUAUAUGUAAAAGUUCACUUUUGUUGUAAAGCAUAAGUCUAGGCAAUAGAAUAAGAUAGUAGAUGUACUCAGUAGGCGAGCAACUUUACUACUAACUAUAAUCAAUGAAGUUAUUAGUUUUGAGUGCUUGAAGGAGUUGUACGCUGAAGAUGAAGAUAUUUGGGUUUACUACAUAAAUCAUUAAAAAACUAAGGAUUUCUUAAUUCAAAAUGGAUAUCUAUUCAGAGUUAAUCAGUUGUACGUGUCUUAAAGCUCUUUAAGGAAGUAGAUCAUCUGUGAGUUACAUGAAGGAGGACUGGACAAAUAUAUUGGAAAACAUAAGACCAAGGCGCUUGCGGAAGAGUGUUAUUAUUAACCGCUGUUGAAUAGAGAUGUGCGAAAGAUUGUGAAGAGGUGUCUGGUAUGCCAAGAAGACAAGAGACACCCACAGAAUCCUUGCCAUUACCUAUUCCAAAAAUAUUUAAUUGGAUUUAUCUAUGAAUUUUGUGUUAGGAUUGCUGCGCACAAGGACAGAUCGAGACUCUAUAUUGGUGGUGAUAUAUAGGUUUUCGCAGAUGGAGCAUUUUGUUGCUUGUAAGAAGACUGAAGAUGCUGCUUCAGUUGUGUAUCUAUUCUUUCGAGAAGUGGUGCGUUUGCACGGUGUUCCAAAGAAUAUCAUUUUUUACAUAGAUGUGAAGUUCAUCAGUAAGUUUUCGCAUAAUCUCUGGAAUAAAUUUGGCACAUAGUUGUAGUUUAGUAGUGCUUUUCAUUUGUAAACAGAUGGUCAAACAGAGGCAGUCAAUCGCACUUUGGACAAUAUGUUGUGGUGUGCUUGUGUUGACAACUAAUGAAACUAGGAAACCGCCUUGCCUCAAGUCGAGUUUGCUUACAACAAUAUGGUAAAUUGAUCUACUGGUAAGACUCCUUUUGAGAUUGUCUACACUUGUUCCUCAUGCCAUGUUUGUGAUUUGGCUGUCAUGCAUAUGGCAGCAAAAGAGAGCAAAGUAGUGGAUAAUGUGGUAGAAAGGCUCUUCAGAUUUAUACUGAGGUUCGAGCUCAUUUGAAGGCUGUCAAUGCUAAGUACAUAACUGAGGUAGACAAACACCGAUGUAAAGAGUUUCAAGAGGGAGAUUUGGUGAUGGCAUAUUUGCGACGUAGUCGUUUCCUUGAUAUUCGUGCCAAGUUGGAAAAACGGAGAUAUGGUCCAUUUCACGUGGCAUGGAGGAUUAAUGAUAAUGCUUUUGUGCUUCAGCUGCCAGAUAAUUAGAAUAUCUCUCACAAUUUCAACGUAACGGACCUGUUCCCAUAUCAUCUAGAUAAUGAGGAGUUGUAUCAGCCUAACUCGAGGAUGAAUUCUUUUCCAAGCAAAGGGGACUGAUGUAAGAUGGUUGUGUAUUACAAGCAGGAUACCUUCUGGAGGGCAUAAUUUAGGCUACAGGUGUUUGUUUUUUUGUGUAUAAUAUACUAUUUCAAAGCUUGUGAUGAGAUGAAUCUAAGCCGUAACACCUUGCGCUGUUCUGACACAUGGUCAAACAAAAAAUUCCCUUUCUUUUCUGGUCAUUGUUUAGUUUUAAGAUUUUUUCCUUUUUUUCUAAUUCUUCUCAAAUUUUUAUCUUUGUUUAGAAUUCGGAUUUGAGUGUAAUUUAUUUUCCUUUUCUUGGUUUGAUUAGGAGAAUUUUGUUAUAAAAUAAUAUUUUGGAUUUGUCAAUUUUAGUAAAUUCGCGUUAUUUAUGGCUAUUAUAUAAAGAGAUCUAAAACUCUAGUUUUGUACUAUUCAGAAUUAUUCAAAUAACUUCCUUAUUUAAAAACUUUAUUUCAACUAUUUUAAACCCUUUCACACUUCCGUUCCGUCAGAAAUGCAUUAUUCUUUUAAUUGAGUACUUUUUUCACUUUGUGUAAUUUUUUAUAUUUAAAAAAAAAAAAGAAAAGGACAUGUCUAAAUAUUAUUUAACACGCUCCAAAAAGUUAAUUUAAAUUUAUAUCUAUUUUGGUUAUUGUAUAAUAAAAUAACACAUUUGUAAUAAAAUUUACCAAAUGCACACUGCUUUUUAAAUUCACAACAACCGCAGCAGUAUAGUUUACCAAACACUAAGGUGUUUUUUUAAUCAAUAGCUUAUCACAUAUGCACAACAACUGAUACAACUUAUUUAAUCAGCAAUCACUAAUUUGGAUGUGGAUAAAUUUUUCUCCAUUAAUAUGAGUGAAGUAGAUAUUUUCUAAUAUUAUUUGAAGGUAAGAUGUUAUUUUAUAUGAUAAAUUUUUAAUUGUAAAUAUUAAUAAAAAUUCUAAUUAUAAUAUUUCAGUACUUCAAAAAAAAAAAAAAACAUCACGGAAUAAAUUAAGAUCUAAAAUAAACUUGCCCAAAGUCGUCCUUUGAUUUGAUGGUAGUGGCAGAUUCACUGAAUUCAAUUUACCUUAAGGCAAUCAUCUUUUGGACCAAAAGCUUCGUCAACCUCCUCCAGUCCAGCAAGACUGCCAGAGCAAACUGACAAGCACCUUCACUAAUACAAUUAUUGCUCAAGUAUAUGUGCAGUGGCCCAUUGAUACUACGAAGGCUCCAUGCUAAUAUGCUAUAGAAGAUAAGCAACCAUCUGGUACACAUAGAAUUAAUCAAAAAGCGAAGUUACCCGUGCCUUCAAAAGAGAGUGGAAUCAGUGUUUCAUAUAUAUAUAUAUAAUUUGAAUUUCUCAGAAUAAGCUUACUAAAUCCAAAUCCUACUUCAUGAGACAAACUUUACAAAGCCUGGCAAGCUCCUUGCCUAGAUGCAGCUCUGAAGUAAGAGCAAGUUUCAGGAGCGUUUCUUCUCUUUCUUCUCAUAAGAUUGAAACAUCACCACUGUUAUAGAACUUUCAACAACAAUAAAGAAUACGAAAUUAUUGUGUAAGAUAAAGUGAGAUUCACAUUUUGUUCAAGUUACCGGACAAUUCAUAUCCCAGUGCCCCCUGUAGGGUUGCUUCAACGGGGUACAGGGUGCUAAGACAUGAUAGCUAUAGUAAUUAAUUGGAAACUUAAAUAUAUACCCAAAGAAACAGCGAACAGCUUCACAGACUUUACUCUCUUUCAAAAAUUCAUGUAAUCUGCGUUGUGCUUGAGUUAGAAGGCAACAUCAUUAGAGUCCACACUAGUCAUCAUCUCUACCUUGUCAUAUUUUCUCCUUUUGUACAUGUUGCUUCCAUGAUGGUAAGUACAUACUUAAGAAAGGGCAUUAUUGAAAUAAAAAAUCAAUAAAACUUACUCAAAAUAUCUGGACAAGUGUUUGUUUAUGUUUAAUUGUGUUCCAUCCAACAGAACUUGCUGCUGGAAGAAAGUUUAAGGCAUAGGACUAACCUCAACAGCAUCAUACUGGCCACGUUUAAGUAGGAUAAGUGCAAGCUGAGUUGAAAACUUCAAGAAAGAAGAAUAUUCCUCCCCAGUAUCCCAAAUAACCACACUGGAAAGCGCCGCAUUGGACCGGUAAGUUCUAGUGGUUUUCGGAGCCAUCUUAAUGAAAUGCAGCCAGUGUCCCUAGGGAAACUCCGAAUACUCAGCAAAAGUACAAUCGCCAAGAAGAAGUAACAUUUACCAAGAUUGUCAUUCCACGAUCCUUUGCCAGCAUUGCGACGUGACAUCGACCCGACUCCCAUUAAAAAAAUCAAGAAUUCUUUAGGAGAUUAAUUGAUCGUGGUCCAACUGAAGUCAACUAUACUCAACUCGUUAUCCGACCUCAAUAAAUAAGUUAAAGAAUUUUAUCAAAAAAAUUAAUUAGUUGUCGUCUAAUUAAGGUAAUGUAUACUCAACUCAUUAUCCGACUUGAUUAAAGAAGUCGAUAAUUUUUUUAAGGAACUUAAUUAUUGUGGUACAAUUGUAGUUGAGUAUUAUUGACUUAUUACUGGACUUACAUAAAAGAAGUCAUAAAUUAUUUGGAGGACUUAAUUAGUCGUGGUUCAAUUAAAAUUUAGUAUACUCGAUUCGUUAUACUCCUUCCACUCCCGCGCUCUUCAACGCCUUGAGGCUCUCGUCCAUCGCCUUCUUUCUAUUCACAGUAUUCGACGUCGUCACGCUGUCCAGCGGCAUCACGAACACCGGCACUGCCUUCCCCUUAUCCUGCGCGCCGCCCCGCUUGUGCAUCUCGCCGCCAACCUCCUGCGGGAAUUCCGUCACCUCCUGCCCCGUCGGAGACUCCGUCGCGAACGCGCGGCACUCCACUGACAGUUCUGCUCGGAUGCUCGACAUUACUGGCCACCGGUAGGGGCUCAUUGGUGGCGAUAUUGUGUCCUUUAAAUCUGGUUUUUGGAUCGCACAGCGCAAAUCUGUUGACACCGCUUUCCAUUCCGCCGACGCAUUCACCGUCAAAUGAUUGUCAAGUACGUGAGAGCUGUUACUAGCUUUAACCGAAACUCAAUCCCAACUGCUUUCUCAUUCACCCGAAUACACACCAUGGCAAAUCAACUGAAGAAAUGCUCCAGUGUUAAAGAACUGGAAUGUGUAUAUGCCACCAUGGUCAAGACCAAUGCUAACCAAGACUGUUUCCUUGCUAAUCAAUUUGUCAGCUUUUGUACGAGUAGGUUCCACCGUACAGAUUACGCUAUUUUAGCCUUUACCCAGAUGCAAGAACCCAAUGUUUUUGUGUAUAAUGCACUUAUCAGAGGCUUAGUUCACUGUGGUCACCCACAUCAGGCUAUUAUAUUUUAUUUACAUAUGUUGAGAGCUGAAGUUUUGCCCACAAGUUACACUUUUUCAUCCUUGAUUAAGGCUUGCUCACUGUUGUUGGAUAUCUGUUCUGGAGAAGCUGUGCAUGGGCAGGUUUGGAAGAAUGGAUUCGGUUCCCAUGUGUUUGUGCAAACUGCUUUGGUUGAUUAUUACUCGAAUUCAAAUAAAUUUUUCGAAUCGAGAAGCGUGUUUGAUGAAAUGCCUCAAAGAGAUAUUUUUUCAUGGACUACAAUGGUUUUAGCCCAUGCUCGAGCUGGAGAUUUAUGUUCUGCGAGGAGAUUGUUUGAUGAGAUGCCUGAAAGGAACAUCGCCACGUGGAACACUAUGAUUGAUGCAUAUGCAAGAUUGGGCAAUGUUCAGGCUGCUGAGUUAUUAUUUAACAAAAUGCCUGCAAGGGAUAUAAUUUCAUGGACUACUAUGAUCACUUGUUAUUCUCAGAAUAACCAAUUUAGAGAAGCAUUGGAUGCUUUUAAUGAGAUGAAGAAGAGUGGGAUUAGCCCUGAUCAAGUUACCAUGGCUACUGUUUUAUCUGCUUGUGCCCAUCUCGGAGCCCUUGAUUUAGGGAGAGAAAUACAUCUUUAUGUAAUGCAAAUUGGAUUUGAUAUCGAUGUUUAUAUUGGGUCUGCGUUGAUUGAUAUGUAUGCAAAGUGCGGGAGCUUAGAUAGAUCCCUUUUAGUUUUCUUCAAGUUGCGUGAGAAGAACCUCUUCUGUUGGAAUUCGAUUAUUGAAGGUCUUGCAGCCCAUGGUUUUGCGCAUGAAGCACUGGCUAUGUUCGAUAGAAUGAUAUAUGAAAAUGUCGAACCAAAUGGGGUCACUUUCAUUAGUGUUCUAAGUGCAUGCACACAUGCAGGGCUUGUUGAAGAGGGUCGCAGGAGGUUUCUGAGCAUGACCUGUGGGUAUUCCAUAACUCCUGAAGUCGAGCACUAUGGAUGCAUGGUUGAUCUUUUGAGCAAAGCUGGCUUACUUGAAGAUGCCUUAGAACUAAUAAGAAGCAGUAAAUUUCAACCAAAUGCAGUUAUUUGGGGUGCCUUAUUGGGUGGGUGUAAGCUUCAUAGAAACUUGGAGAUUGCUCAUAUCGCUGUUAAUGAGUUGAUGAUUUUGGAGCCAAACAAUAGCGGGUACUGCACUCUUUUGCUUAACAUGUACGCUGAAGUGAGCCGAUGGGCUGAGGUCACCAAAAUUAGGGUUGCCAUGAAGGAACUGGGGAUUGAAAAGAGAUGUCCUGGUUCAAGUUGGAUUGAAAUGGAAAGGAAGGUUUAUCAGUUUGCGGCCUCUGAUAAAUCUCACCCAGCCUCCGAUGAAAUUUACUCGUCACUUUCUAAAUUAGAUGAGCAGCUAAAGCUAGCCAGCUAUGUACCUGAACUCGAGGCUAUGUUAUAGCAGUACAAUGUUCAUCAAUUCAAGAUAUGCCUUUAGAGGAGGUAACUAACUCUACUUUUUUAGGGGAUGCAUUGGUGUCAAACUUGCUUGAGUUAGUGAUUAAUAUUUACCAACUAGUUUGAUAAUUAUUUUGCUGAUGUAACAGUUUGAUUAUUACUUGAAUGUUUCAAUGGUCCACAUGGCAAUGUUGGCCAGAGCCACUCCCUCACAUAGCACCGUGGGGUUUCGAACCACUUGUCUCCCACAUUUUUCUCAAAGCUUCUUUUCUUCUCCAAUUACAUGCUAACAUGUUUUAAUUUAUUGCAUUACACAACUGCUGCCACUAUCACUUCACUUCAAUUUACUAAUGGCUUCCCUACAAGUUCACAGCAUGAAGUUACAAUUCUGUCCCAAUCACAUUUCCUCUUUUCCAGGUUUCACCGCUUCCAGUGUCUCAACUUCCUCAGAAACCAUUUUCUGGGAAAGUUGAGUUGGUCUUCUUUGCCCGCGAAGCUAUCAAAGCAAAGGGGAUAAGGGUUAUUCAGUUUGCUGCUUUUGCAAAACAAAGGAUGCUGAGAUUGAUAAGAUUGAAGAUAAAGAACAAGAUGAAAGGCCACCAUUUGAUAUUAAUCUUGCUGUCAUUCUUGCUGGGUUUGCAUUCGAAUCUUACACAACCCCACCUGUAAUUAAAUUUAACUUAAUUUUUUAAAAAUAUUUUUGUGCCCAUGUGAUUUAUUUGGUUGUUUUGUGUUUUGCUUUGUGAUUAGGAAAGUGUUGGGAGGAAAGAGGUUGAUGUUGCAGGUUGCAAGACUGUGUAUCUCUCUGAGUAUGUUACCAUUUUCACUCUAAUGAUUUUGUUUUUCUAAUCUUUUUGAAUGAUGGGUAGCAAUAAUUUUCCAUGCUGUUAUUUAUGUGUGCGCAUGGGCUGUGAAUGAACAUAUAGAAAGGUAGAGAUGAACUCGGUAAUGAACUGGGAAACAGAUCAUGAUUUUGCAAAAUCAUGUAAAAAUCCAAAUUUUGUUAAUUUAUGUGCAGGUCUUUUGCGCAUGAGAUGUAUGAUGGCCAAUUAUUUAUAAAGUUGGAGAAGUGUUUUAAUCUCCCUGCCAUGGAUCCUUGGGUGAGUUGUUCUUUUUCAGCUUUGUUGGUAUUUCUAUUUGCUGUGAUCAAAACCUGUUAUUAAAAUAUUGGAUCAAUAUGCUUAUGAAAUUUUUUGUCUCUUCUGAAAUGGAAAGUUAUUUUCAGAAGUUAGAAUUCACUCAUUUAGUUUUUAUUUCUGUUAUAAGAUUACUCAUGCAUGUUCUACUGGCUUUCUGGGAACGAGUGAUCCUUAUGUGUUCAUGGAAUUGGAUGGUCAGGUAGUCAAAAGUAAGGUUAAAUGGGGGCAUAUAAGUUAUAGUCACUCUCUAUAUCUGGCAGUCUCUUUACUUUUGCUGGCUUUCCUAUGUUGAUGUUACAGAAACUCAGGAACAUCUGAUUAUAUAUUGUUACAUUGCUCGUCUUUUGGCAGAACAAGAUUAGAGUUUAUUUCUAAAUUGUUUAAUGAUAAAUAAUGUAAUUGAGCUGUUUGUAAUUACUUUAGUUUAACCAUUCGGACCAUUCCCCUGAUUGGACCAAUAAAGUUUCCUAACCAUGACGAUAUUCAUCUUUAUUCAAAUUUAUGGGGUUACACCUUCUGCCAAUUCAAAGCUGAAUUAGACUUAUAUAUACUAAUAACUGGAUGCAAACUUUGUUACGCCUCAUAAACACACCGGCAACGCAGGCUUAAAUCUGGAUAGCCUCUGUGAUGGUGAGAAUUCAAUGAAUCUCAUGCAUGACAUUGAUAUUAAAAUGAUGAAUCAUCAUGGUUGCCUAGCUUUUGCCUAGCUUUUAUGUUGCCGAAUUAUGCAUCCAUUAUUGAGCAAGGGUAUUGUGUUUUUGUACUCAUACUUGAAAUGGAGCUUUCUAAUAAUUUUGUUCGCAACCUUGCUGGUGUAGGGCAGAUUAAAGCUAGGUGGGUCUUCAAAUAGUUAUUAAUGAUCAAAUAAAAUAUGUGUUUUAUUAGGAAAUUCGCAUGAAGUGCUGGUGGAGUUGGAAGGAAUAGGAUGCGGUGGAAAAUUACAACUAGAGGUAAGUUGAUCUGUGAAAGAAAAUUUCUAUGGUUGAUCAGAAAGGAUUUUUCUGCUACUUCUUUGUCAAGAGAAUGCACGUUUUCAAGGUUGUGUCUGGAAAUACUAGAAGGAGCUGUUCUAUGUAAAGAUGCUAGUCGUUGCACAACAAUUGUGGAACCAUAAGUAAACCUGUUUCAUUUGCUUUGGUUCUUCUUCCAGUAAAUUUGGAACCAUUUCUUACUGGCACUAUCUCAUUAAUUUACCUUGCAAUUCACAUAUUAGCUAAAUUGGAAUUAGUCAGUAUGUGCAGUCUGAAAUGGUAUAUAUUUUGAGGCUCUAAAAUCUUCUAUUUUCUGUUUCCUGCACACGCAGUACACUACCCGAAGCUAAUGAAUGCAGCUUCUGCUUUAAAAUGUGUCAUGCAGGCCGCUAUGGAGGUUCUGAAGGACGGUUACCAAGGUGAUGUGAUUGGGGAGGCCACACCUGACGUUCUUCUUAGUGAAUUUGUAUGUUUCCUGUCUUUUGAUUAUUUAUUUUAUUUUUGUCUUAAAUCUCAUUUAAGAUUAUCCUAAAGGUAUCGAAUUCCGAACUGAGUCAAUAGAUCAGCAAUGUAUCUAAAUUUAAAAAGAUAUAACGUAACUUUCCUAUGUAGUCUUAAUAACAACACGCAAAACAAGCAUGGUUUUCUCAUUUUCUUCAUUUUGUGUGCUGGGCUUGAGAACAAGAGAAGUCUCGUUGACUCUUCUUGUGCCUUUGCUGACAGAACUGAGAAAUAUGUCUGCUAUCAUGAAACUUUUAAGCUUUUAUGUCCCUGUUAUCCUUGAAAACAAUAUGUAUAACCAGUUAUUAGAUUGUGGAGAGCUAAAUAAUGCACAUAUAAAUAUUGAAUUAAUGCUAAAUGCUGUAUAUGAUCCUGUUGUGUAACCUCUGGGGAGGUUGGGUUAAUGAUGCCUCAUAAGAGAAAGUUGUUCUACUGUGUGAUUUGUUGUAGUUACUCUUUAACUCAGUCGAUUGUUCUGUUAGACCCAUGAAAACUUAUGUUAGGCGCAAAUAUAAAGGGGCAGGGGCUGUUUAUUAAUUUUAGGGGCAGGGGCAAUUUAGUAACUUUAUUAUUAAUUAGGGUUUAGAUAUAAAUAAGAGAUUAUGGAGUCAUUUAGGGUCUAUGUUGAGUUUUGUUUGGUAUUAGGAACCAUUAGGAGUUUUGGGAGAGAUUGACCUACCUCUCGAAUCGUAGGUCAGGAUUGAUUGUUUGUUUUCUUUUGAUUUAAUCAAUAAAAGUCAGCCCUAAUUUAGCCCUAAGUCCUAUCAAAGUGGUAUCAGAGCAAGAAUCCUGAGACAAUGGCAGUAAAGAAAGUGGACGUGCUUGAAGAAAAAUUUGGAAGCGGAGAUUGGUUUGCUCAAGGCCACCAUUGACGAGCAAUUUAAUAGCGUUCAACAAAAAUUUUCAUCCCUUGAAGCCAUGUUGCUGAAAUUAAUAGAACUCCACCUCAACCCACCACUGGUAAUAUCAACAGGCCAAGGCAGUGUGGCAGGAGAAGGAUAUGAUGACACGAAACCCAUGCUCGGUGACGGCACAAAGGGUGGAGGGCCAAAAACCACCAAUCUUACUCAGCUAGGGGCAAGAGUUCACGGCGGAUUUGGUGGCGAGGAGGUCAGCCUAGGGGACUUACGGCCUAGGGGAGCCUUUCCUGGCGUUGGGCGUGGCAAAGGAGGCUGGGUUGCUGCUGGGGGGCGGUGGAUCUGAGGGUUACGCGGUUGGAGGAGGCAGUUUAGGGUUGGGAAUCGGUGUUUCAGCAUCAGAAUGGGUCGCGCGGGAGUCGGGGGUGGCCGGGCUUGGCGACUCGGCAGCGUUUGGGGGUGACUCACGGCCUAGGCAGGCCAAAUUUUGGGUUGGGCAGGGCCGUUUUGGGCCAAGGUAGGCCGGGCAGGGCUGUUGUGGGCCGGGGCAGGCUGGAUUUAGGCUUGUGCAGGGCGGUUUUGGGUUUGGACAGGUCAAAUUUAGGGGCAGAUGGCUAGGAGGAGGGGUUACCGGUGAGAAAGAGAGUGGUUAUGACCAGAAUGCAGUUGGGCGAGGGAUUUCAGCCCAAUAUGGGGCUGGGCUAGGUCUUCGGGAUUUGCGGAAAAUGGAGUAGAUUCGGGAGGUUGGAGACGUUCAAUGGCGCGAAAUUGGGCCGGGCUGACUCAAUUUGGAGCCGAUUUUGGGGUAAGGAAACUAAAAAUGCUCAUUUUCGAAAGCGAGGAUGCCUAUGGAUGGGUGUAUAGGGUAGAGCGCUAUUUCGCCAUCAAUGGACUCUCGAAAGGGGAAAAACUGAUGGCGGCUGCAUUAUGUUUGGAGGGAAAGACCCUUAUGUGGUUUCAGUGGCGGGAACAACAACAACCAUUGAGGCCGUGGGGUGAAUUUAAGGACCGGCUGUUGGAGAGGUUUCGGACCACUCAAGAGGGAGAUUUGCACGAACAAUUUUUUGUCCUGAUCCAAGAGAAAACAAUCAUGGAGUAUAGAAAAAAGUUUGAGCUGCUAUCGGGACGUCUAGGGGACAUCUCAGAGGCAGUGUUGGAAGGGAAUUUUAUGAAGGGACCAAAGCUAGAAAUCUGAGCCGCGCUACGCUUGCUAAGGCCAAGAGGGUUAGGGGAGUCAAUGGAGUUGGCACAGAGGAUUGCGGAUAAGAACACAGCAGCAGUUUCUUGGAUUCCACCUUGAGGACAAGGUGUCUUUUUGGGAGGGGAGUAAUGUUAGACCCAUGAAAACUUAUGUUAGGCGCAAAUAUAAAGGGGCAGGGGCUGUUUAGUAAUUUUAGGGGCAGGGGCAAUUUAGUAACUUUAUUAUUAAUUAGGGUUUAGAUAUAAAUAAGAGAUUAUGGAGUCAUUUAGGGUCUAUGUUGAGUUUUGUUUGGUAUUAGGAACCAUUAGGAGUUUUGGGAGAGAUUGACCUACCUCUCGAAUAGUAGGUCAUGAUUGAUUGUUUGUUUUCUUUUGAUUUAAUCAAUAAAAGUCAGCCCUAAUUUAGCCCUAAGUCCUAUCAUGUUCCUAGACAUAAAGGGCAGCUGACACUCCUCCAAUAGUUUAUAUUCAUUUCACAGUUACUUUGUGCUUUCUGAUUCUUGUUCAUUGAGAACAUUUAUGCAGAUGAAAGGUGAGAAGGAACUUACUGAAAGAUAAUGCAAACUGAGAUAAAUAAAUUUCGUGCAAUUCGAGAUCAAAGUGCACUUAUGAUGCAUUUGGAGGAUUUCUAUUGCAUAUCACUGUUAGAGGUAUCGAAUAUCUAGUUAAAUAAGAGUAUUGAAAUUCAUUGAUCUGUUUUUAAUCCUUAAAAGUUAUUUUGAUGAGCACUCUGCAACUACAUAAAUUGAAGCCGUUUCCAGAUUACUUUGAUUCAAAUUGGGAGACCAUUUAAAUGUUUUAUCGAGCUUACAUUGCUCAUACAUUCAGUUAACCAGUCCAAUUGUGUGAUGUUGAGAUUGAAUAAUUUUUUUUUUCCCCUUCAGAAUGUGAGAAGGUAUUACCAACCUGCAGUUGUCUCAGAAUGAUGCACAAUGCAGCGUAUGAAUCCGCUAGGAAUGGCAUGGUAUGGCUCAGGGCCAGCGGCCAAGUUUACUAUAACUUAGAAAUUAUGAGGAAAAAGUAGUAUCCUUCAUAUUUACAAUCAGUACAAGGAUCCCUUUUAAAUAGAGCAAUUAUAACAGAAAAGGAAACUAAUUAAGAGCUAAUAUUUGACAGCUAUCAUCUAUAUUUACAGAGGAAAGGAUCCUAAAAUAUCUCUAGGAUUAAGGCUAAAAUCAAGGCCUAAUUUCCAACACUCCCCCUCAAGCUGGUUUGAAGAUAUCUUCCAUAGCCAGCUUGCUAGUCAACUUAUCAAAUUGCUUCUUGUGCAAUCCCUUUGUUAAUACAUCAGCUAACUGUUCAGUUGUUGGAAGAUAUGUCAUACAUAUUAUUCCAGUGUUGAGUUUCUCCUUGAUGAAGUGUUUAUCCACUUCUAUAUGUUUUGUUCGAUCAUGAAGAACUGGAUUAUGAGCUAUAGAAAUAGCAGCUUUGUUGUCACAAUAGACUUUCAAAGGAGUUGAGAAAGUAAAUUUCAGUUCUUCAAGAAUUCUUUUUAUCCACAUAACCUCGCAGAUUCCAUGGGCAAUAGCUCUGAAUUCUGCUCCUGCACUACUUCUAGCAACCACAUUCUGUUUUUUACUCCGCCAUGUAACUAGGUUCCCACCAAUAAAGGAACAGUAGCCAGAUGUUGAUCUCCUGUCAGUGACACUUCCUGCCCAGUCUGCAUCUGUGUAGACUUCAACUUGAAGAUGUCCAUGUUUUUUGAACAUUAGGCCCCUCCCUGGAGUUCCUUUUAGGUAUCUUAAGAUCCUGUAGACUGCCUCAAAAUGCUCAGCCCCUGGUGAGUGCAUAAACUGACUUACCAUGCUGACUGCAAAGGCGAUAUCAGGUCGCGUAUGAGACAAGUAGAUAAACUUCCCUAUGAGUUUAGGAUACUGUUCCCUAUCCUUUACUUCUUCAACCUUAGCAGGUUGUAACUUCAAGUUAGGAUCAAUUGGGGUCUCUACCAUCUUACAACCAAGCAAACCUGUUUCUCCAAGGAGAUCAAGAACAUAUUUCCUCUGAUUCACAAAUAUACCUUCCUUGGAUCUUGCAAAUUCCAUUCCAAGGAAAUACUUAAGGACUCCCAAAUCCUUAAUUUGAAACUUCUUUGCAAGUCUCUUCUUGAGGGCUGCUAAUUCUGUUUCAUCAUCACCGGUUAAAAUGAUAUCAUCAACGUAAACAAUCAAAAUUGUAAUUUUACCGUCUUUUGAGUGUUUAUAAAAUAUUGUGUGAUCCCCUUGACUCUGCAAGAAGCCAUAACUGAUAACUGCCUUUCCAAAGCGUUCAAACCAUGCUCUUGGUGACUGUUUGAGACCAUAUAAUGACUUUCUUAAUCUGCAGACUUUAUCACUACCAAGACUCUUCUCAAAUCCUGGUGGUAGACUGAUGAACACCUCCUCUUUAAGAUCACCAUUGAGAAAUGCAUUUUUAACGUCAAGUUGGUGUAAAUGCCAAUCACAAUUCACUGCAAGAGAUAACAAAAUUCUGAUAGAAUUUAUUUUGGCAACAAGAGCAAAAGUCUCCUGAUAGUCAAUCCCAUAAGUCUGAGUGAAGCCUUUAGCCACCAGCCUCGCCUUGUACCUCUCAACGCUUCCAUCCGCAUUACAUUUUAUCGUAAACACCCACUUACACCCAACUAUUUUCUUGUCUCUGGGUAGAUCAACUAUCUCCCAAGUACCACUUCUCCUCAAGGCAUUCAUCUCCUCCAUGACUGCUAAUUUCCAAUUCGGGUCAUCCAGUGCUUCCUGUACAUUUCUUGGAACAAACAAGUGUGAAAUCCUAGAUGUGAAAGCUUUAUGGUUUUUUGACAGUCUUUGAUAGGAAAGAUAAUUUGCAAUAGGAUGUUUGGUGCAGUUUCGAACACCUUUCCUAAUAGCUAUAGGGACAUCAAGAUCAGAAAUAAUUAGUGAAUUAUUGGAAACAAUCGAAGGAAUCAAAGCUAGAGUUGGGAUUUGAUUACCUGAAAUUUCAGUGCUGGAACUCAAUUUUUCAAAUUGGGCUUGUGUAGGAUUGGCAUUCAAGUCUUUACUUCUUAGAUGAAAUCUCUUCCUAGUAUAAACCUGAAGUUCAGAAUUUAGAUCAUGUUGAUCUGUUUGUAGUGCUUCUCCCCCUGAACGAGAAUCUCUUGUACUAGGCUCUAAAGAACUUGUUUUUCUCAACUGAUCAUUAUUAGAAAAGUGUGGUCCUUGAAUAGGACAAAUAACUUUUGGAAGUGGGAUAGAAAUGUCCCAAAAAUUGUCUUCUACUCCAUUUGUCUCCCCCUGAAGAGAAUUUUUUAUGAAAUAAGGAGUUUUUUCCAAAAACGACACAUCCAUACUCACAUGAAAUGUUUUUGUUUGAGGGUCAAAACACUUAUACCCUUUUUUGUUCGAUGAAUAACCCAAAAAUACACACUUUAUAGCACGUGGGUCAAGUUUUGAACGAAAUUGACUUGGAACAUGAACAUAGACAGUACACCCAAAAACUUUGACAGGUAAAUCAGAAAACAACCUUGUUGCAGGAAAAAAUUCUUUAAGGCAAUCAAGAGGUGUUUUGUAUUUUAACACCUUGGUAGGCAUCCUGUUUAUUAAAUAAGCUGCUGUUAAAACCGCUUCACCCUAUAAAUACUUAGGAAUAUGCAUGUAAAACAUUAUGGCACGUGCUACUUCAAGUAAAUGUUUAUUUUUCCGUUCUGCAAUGCCAUUUUGUUGAGGGGUAUUCUGACAUGUAGAUUGAUGAAAAAUGCCUUUAUCAUUCAAAAACUCACCCAAGUGCUCAUUGAAAUAUUUUGUUCCAUUGUCAUAAUGUAAAAUACCAAUUCUAGUUUGAAAUUGAUUUUCAAUCAUAGUGUAAAAAUUUUCAAAUAAAUAUUUUACGUCAGAUUUUUUAUGCAUGAGAUAAAUCCAACAUAAACGAGUAUGGUCAUCAAUAAAAGUAACAAACCAUUUUUUACCGGAAAGGGUAGUGACAUUAGAAGGACCCCAAACAUCACUAUGAAUCAAAUAAAAAGGUUUAGAGGCCUGGUACUGUUUUGGCAAAUAAGUAGAACGAUGAAGUUUUGCAAAAGUGCAACAUUCACAAUAAAAAGAAGAGCAAUCAAUCCCUUUAAAUAAUUCUGGAAAUAAGUAUUUCAAAUAAAAAAAACUAGGAUGUCCUAGUCUAUAGUGCCAUAGCAUUAUUUUUUCUCGAACAGAAAUUGAACUAGUACUAAUAAAGUUCUGAGCUUUUUUAUUACUAAUAAGUACUUCAUCAAAGUAGUAAAGACCUUCAAUCAUCCUAGCACGUCCAAUCAUCAUCCCCGAGUUCUGGUCCUGAAAUUCACAAUGUGAUUCAAAGAAGGUAAUACGAUAAUUAGAAUCUCUAGAUAAUUUGCUAACAGACAAAAGACUGCAGGCUAAUUUAGGGACAUGAAGAACAGAAUUGAGAUUAAUUUUCUCGGUCAGUUUGAUAAGUCCUUUUCCUGCAAUAGGUGAAAAACUACCAUCGGCAAUUCUAAUUUUUUGAUUUCCAGAACAAGGAGAAUAGGUAUUAAAUAAAUGAAAAGAACUAGUCAUGUGAUCAGAGACUCCAGAAUCUAUGAUCCAUGGAGAAGAGUUUAAACAAGAAAGGGCUAUAGGAUUUCUACCUGUUUGUGCCAAAGAAACACUAGGAAUACCAGACGAGAAGUUGGAUUUUAUCAACUUCAGGAGUUUAUCAAUCUGCUCUUUGUUGAAGUGGCCUGAGUUGGCUUCAUUGGCUGAAGGAAUCCCACGAUUCUUCUCUCCUUGCUUGCUGCUUUUCCAGUUUUCAGGUUUGCCAUGAAGCUUCCAACACUUCUCACGUGUAUGGCGAGGCUUGUGGCAAUGAUCGCACCAGGCCUGUGACUUAUCAUCAGACCUACACUGAUAAUUUGCAGUCUUGUAGGCUGCUGCAUCAGUAAUUAAGGCAGAAUUCUCAAUUGACUCACCGGUACUCCUUUUCCUGAGCAUUACGCUCCUUCGGCUUUCUUCUCUUCUGACUUCAGCAAAGACUUCGCCAAUGGGUGGUAGAGGAGGUCUGCCAAUAAUCCUCCCUCGUACUUCAUCAAACUCAACAUUGAGGCCGGCAAGAAACUUGUAAAUACGACUGUCUUCCACGGUUUUCUUGUGGUGGCUGCAGUCAUCAGCGGAUUUCCAUUCAUAUGUGUUGAAGAGGUCAAGAUCUUGCCACAACCUUUUCAAAGAAUUGAAAUAUUUGGUGACAGAAUCAUCACCUUGACGAAUCUCUCCCAACCUUAAAGUUAACUCAAAAACCUGAGAUUGGUUGCCCAGGUCAGAAUACAUCUGACUAACGUUGUCCCACAAUUCUUUAGCAGUAGGAUAGCACAUAUAAUUGGAGCUUAUAUCCUCCUCCAUGGAGUUGACCAGCCAUGUCAUAACCAUGGAAUUUUCAGCAUCCCAAGUGGCAUACAGCGGAUCAUCAUUAGCAGGAACCUUCUUGUCACCAGUGAUGUAACCAAUUUUUCCUUGCCCACGGAUAUACAUCCGGACAGAUUGCGACCAGCGGAGGAAGUUGUCGCCAUUUAAGCGGAUGGUGGUGAUUUGAACAGAAUGAGAGUUGGAGUGGUUUCGCAGGGUCUCAGAUGUUUUUUCUGGAAUGGCAGCAGCAGGGGUUGGAGUGGUUUCAGACGUGACUUCUGACAUGGUUGCAGACACGAUUCCCUAUGCUCUAAUACCAACUUAGAAAUUAUAAGGAAAAAGUAGUAUCCUUCAUAUUUACAAUCAGUACAAGGUAGGGAUGGCAAAAAUCCCCACGGGGACGGGUACCCUUGGGGAUUUUCCCCAUUCGGGGAGGGUACGGGGAUAAUUUUAUACCCAAUUUUUUAUUCGGGGAGGGGACGGGGAAAAUUUUUUACCCAAUUUUUUAUUCGGGGAGGGGACGGGGAUGAGGUGGAAUCCCCAUCCCCUACCCAUUUCCCCAUUUUAAUUUUAAUUUUUAUUUUUAAAAUUACUAAUAAAUAAAUAACAAAAUUAUAAAUAUUGUUAAAAAUAAUAAAUAUCAAAAUAUUUAUAUUAUUAAAUGCUAAUAGGUAUCCUACAUUAGCUCGAAUUGCUAGAGAUAUUUUGACAAUUCCAAUUACAACAGUUGCUUCUGAAUCAGCUUUUAGCACCGGUGGUAGAGUUGUGAGCCCACACCGUAACAAACUUCAUCCAAGCACAUUGGAGGCCUUAAUGUGCUGUCAAAGUUGGUUACGAGCUUACAAUAACAAUAUGAGUUUAUUUUACAUUGUGAUUAUAUUAUACAGUUAUUAAUAUUUGCACUUAUAAGUUACUUUACUUAUAUUAUUUUCAUUCUUUUAUAACUAUUUUAAUAAUUUAUAUUUUGAAUGUGACUUUGUAAUGGAUCAAUAUUAAUGUAAGAUAUAUUUUGAACUUUAUUUUUAUCUGAAUUUUUUAUUUUAAUAUGAUUAAUUUAAAAUCGAAAAUAAAAAUAAUGUAUUAGACUAUUAGUUAUUCGGGGACCGGGGACCCUCGGGGAUCCCCUGUUAUUAUUCGGGGAGGGGAUGGGGAUUCUCUCAAGUAAUUCUGACGGGGACGGGGAGGGGACGGGGACAUAUGCAAAAUAUCGGGGAUGGGUAUGGGGAGAUUGGUCCCCUCCCCUCCCCUCCCCAUUGCCAUCCCUAGUACAAGGAUCCCUUUUAAAUAGAGCAAUUAUAACAGAAAAGGAAACUAAUUAAGAGCUAAUAUUUGACAGCUAUCAUCUAUAUUUACAGAGGAAAGGAUCCUAAAAUAUCUCUAGGAUUAAGGCUAAAAUCAAGGCCUAAUUUCCAACACUCUAAAACUUGCAUUAAGCGUAUGAGUGUUUGAAGUGUUAUCAGACAAGCAGUACCUGCAAUUGCAAGUCAGCAUGGGUAAACUUGUACAGUCAGUAAUCUUCUUUAGCUCGCAUACUUCAUAUUACUGGCUUUCAUAGAGUGAAAGGGGUACCAAUAAUUGGUAUAGCUGAGAAGGUCUCUAAUUUUGUUUUUCAAAAAAAAAAUUUGUAAUCUUCGUGAAUUCGUAUACUUCGUUUGCAGGCUUUACUUGUGAUUUUGUUACUCUGUCCGGUUUGCAUUCGAAGCACUCACUAAUGGUCAAGAACACACUAAAAGGUUAACUGGAAAAAAGAAAGAUGAAAACAAACCAACAGCAAAAGAUGCCUCAUAAGAUGGCAAAUGUUAAACUUCUGAAACUCACAAGUUCGUUCAUCACAAUUUCAGAAUUUUCAUAACGCAAAGUGAUGCGUUGUUAAAGAAUGCAACUUUCACAAAAUGCAAGCUGUGGCGAAUUAAGACAACAAAAGUAAAAACCAAAUGAGUGACUUCUAACUUCUGAAUGAAACUUUUCAUUUCAGUAGAGACAAAAAAAAAAUUCAGAGCCAUAUUGAACCAAUGCUUAAAUAACUGGUUUUGAUCACAGCAAAUAGAAACACCAACAAAGCUGAAAAAGAAUAACUUACCCAAGGAUCCAUGGCAGGGAGAUUAAAACCCUUCUUCAACUUUAUAAAUAAUUGACCAUCAUAUAUCUCGCGCACAAAAAACCUGCACACAAAUUUUAAAAAAAAAAAUUGGAUUUUUACAUGAUUUUGCAAAAUCAUGAUCUCUUUCCCAGUUCAUCACCGAGUUCACUUCUAUCAUUCUAUGUAUUCGUUCAAAAGGUAUGAGCACACGUAAAUAACGGCAUGAACAAGUAUUCAAAAAAAUUAGAAAAACAAAAUGACUAGAGUGAAAACUGAAAAUGGCAACAUACUCAAAGAGAUACACAGUCUUGCAACCUGAAGCAUCAACCUCUUUCCUCCCGACCCUUUCCUAAUCACAAACCAAAGCACUAAACAACCAAAUAAAUCACAUGGGCACACAAUAUUUAAAAAAAAAAUUAAUUUAAAUUUAAUUACAGGGUGGGGUUGUGAAAGCAAGAUUAAUAUCAAACGGUAGCCUUUUAUCUUGUUCUUUAUCUUCGAUCUUAUCAAUCUCAGCAUCCUUUGUUUUUCAAAAGCAGCAAACUGAAUAACCCUUAUCCCCUUUGCUUUGAUAGCUUCGUGGGCAAGUGAAGACCAACUCAACUUUCCCAGAAAAUGGUUUCUGAGGAAAGUUGAGACACUGAAAGCGGUGAAACGUGGAAAAGAGGAAAUGUGAUUGGGACAGAAUUGUAACUUUAUGCUGUGAACUUGAAGGGAAGCCAUUAGUAAAGCGAAGUGAAGUGAUAGUGGCAGCAGUUGUGUAAUGCAACAAAAUUAAUUAAAACAUUCUACCACGUAACUGGGGAAGAAAAGAAGCUUUGACACAGAUGUGGGAGACAAGUGGUUCGAACCCGCACACAGCACACUGCUAUGUGGACCAUUGAAACAUUCAGAUUAAUGAUUAAACGGUUACAUCCGCAAAAUAAUGAUCAAACUAAUUGGUAAAUAUCAAUCACUAUCCUUCAACUUCCUUAUGUCUUAAGCAGGUUUGACGUCAAUGCAACCCCCUGAAAAGGCAGAGUUAGUUACCUCCUCUUAACGGCAUAUUUUGAAUUGAUGAACAUUGUAUC
rnacentral:lncRNA from 1 species